AGAGCGAGAAGAUGAUGCAUGUGAGCCCUGCCCUUGGGAAGCUUCCAGGUUGGGAAAUGAGGAAUGAGCCUGACACCCAGGGCCCAGAGAGACCCAGGACAGAGGCAGGUCAGGAGGCAGACACGCGCUGCUGGGUAAUGACGACAGCACCAGUAAUCACGGCUACUCCUUGUUAAGUACUUACUAAGUGCAAGACUCCAAGCUAAGCAAUUAAUAGACCUUUUCUUGUUUAAUCCUUACCACAAUUCCAUAGGGUUGAGUAGGAAGUCCUUCUUGAAGUCUAAUCUCAAGAAUUCAUGCCAUGGAUUGGGCCAAUGUUCCACCUUUAUUGGAGUCUGGGGACUUAGGUGGAAAAGGCAGAACUGGCUGGUUGGAGGAGCCACCUCCCUGCAAGGGGCCAGGAGGGAGAUUACGGAGGCGCCAAGCCCAGAGCUCCAACAUGCACCUGCCACAGCUCCAGGGGAGAUCGGGGGCCUGCCAAUUUACCCCGCCCCAUGAUCUCAUGGCUGUGUGCGCCAGGCACUGGCUCAGGGAGCAGAUGUUCUCACAGAGCUACACAUGCCACAGUCAUCACUAGUUGCGAGAGUCUCCAGUGUUCAUUAAGCCUAUUUUGCUGGAAGUUUAGUCCCUGGAGGAUUAGUCCCUGCCCUUAAGGAGUGCCAAAGAAGACUUUGGAAUCUAAGUCACAUCUCCCCUGCUGCAAUUUUUUCCUCUUGAUAAUCAAGGAAUCUCACUGAUAAAACUCUCAAUGAGGAGCAGCUCUCCCCAUGAGCAAGUUCUUGCCUUCAUUGCCAGGGAGGCCCCAGCUAAGGUUAUACUGGGAAAGGAAUCUCUGGGGAGUACCUGGAAGAGGUCAGCUUCUCCUCAAAGGAAGCCUCUCCAGCUGGUGUACUGCAAAGCCUUCCAAGACCAAGUUCCCUCUUCCUGGCCUCUGGAACCAGCCUGUGUGCCAGCGCUGUGUCCCCAGUAACACACAUGAGUCUCUCCCUCAGAAGCCACAGAAGGAUGCAGAGAGAGACCAACCCAGGAUUGAUUCUCAGCACUUACUAAUUGUGUGGACAUAACUGCUCUGGACCUCAGCUUUGCUAUCUAUAAAAUGAGCACCCUUUUUAUAGAUAUGAACACUUUAAGAGAGUCAUAAAGAUUGAAGUUGAUUUG
rnacentral:lncRNA from 1 species